AUACGUAUGGGGCAAGCGUUGUUCGGAUUCAUUGGGCGUAAGGGCACGCAGGCGGUCUGUUAAGUUGGAUGUUUAACCUUCAGGCUCAACCUGAAGUCUGCAUCCAAAACUGACAAACUAGAGUACCAGAGGGGAAAGCGGAAUUCUUGGUGUAGCGGUGGAAUGCGUAGAUAUCAAGAGGAACACCAGUGGCGAAGGCGGCUUUCUGGCUGGUUACUGACGCUCAUGUGCGAAAGCGUGGGGAGCAAACAGGAUUAGAAACCCGGGUAGUCC
rnacentral:rRNA from 1 species